UACGUAGGGACCAAGCGUUGUUCGGAUUUACUGGGCGUAAAGGGCGCGUAGGCGGAUCUUUAAGUCGGGGGUGAAAGCCUGAGGCUCAACCUCAGAAUUGCCUUCGAUACUGGAGAUCUUGAGACCGGAAGAGGUAAGUGGAACUGCGAGUGUAGAGGUGAAAUUCGUAGAUAUUCGCAAGAACACCAGUGGCGAAGGCGGCUUACUGGUCCGGUUCUGACGCUGAGGCGCGAAAGCGUGGGGAGCAAACAGG
rnacentral:rRNA from 1 species